UACGUAGGUCCCGAGCGUUGUCCGGAUUUAUUGGGCGUAAAGCGAGCGUAGGUGGUUUAUUAAGUCUGGUGUAAAAAGCAGUGGCUCAACCAUUGUAUGCAUUGGAAACUGGUAGACUUGAGUGCAGGAGAGGAGAGUGGAAUUCCAUGUGUAGCGGUGAAAUGCGUAGAUAUAUGGAGGAACACCGGUGGCGAAAGCGGCUCUCUGGCCUGUAACUGACACUGAGGCUCGAAAGCGUGGGGAGCAAACAGG
rnacentral:rRNA from 1 species